UACGUAGGGGGCAAGCGUUGUCCGGAAUUAUUGGGCGUAAAGCGCGCGCAGGCGGUUCUUUAAGUCUGGUGUUUAAGCUCAAGGCUCAACCUUGGGACGCACGGGAAACUGGGGAACUGGAGUGCAGGAGAGGAAAGUGGAAUUCCACGUGUAGCGGUGAAAUGCGUAGAUAUGUGGAGGAACACCAGUGGCGAAGGCGACUUUCUGGCCUGUAACUGACGCUGAGGCGCGAAAGCGUGGGGAGCAAACAGG
rnacentral:rRNA from 1 species